rnacentral:rRNA from 1 species
CCAAGGAGUGCAACGUGCGCGCGAGUCUUUGGGUGGCAAACCCCUCGGCGCAGUGAAAGCGGAAGCGGGCUCCGGCCUGCCGAGGCGAGAUCCCCGCCCUCUCGGGGGAGGGGCGCAUCGUCGACCGAUCCCGAUCCACGCCGUGGUGGAAUUUGAGUGAGAGCGUGCCCGUUGCGACCCGAAAGAUGGUGAACUAUGCCUGAAUAGGGCGAAGCCAGGGGAAACCCUGGUGGAAGCCCGCAGCGAUUCUGACGUGCAAAUCGAUCGUCAAAUUUGGGUAUAGGGGCGAAAGACUAAUCGAACCAUCUAGUAGCUGGUUCCCUCCGAAGUUUCCCUCAGGAUAGCUGGAGCCCGGUGCAGUUUUAUCAGGUAAAGCGAAUGAUUAGAGGCCUUGGGGUCGAAACGACCUCAACCUAUUCUCAAACUUUAAAUGGGUAAGAGGUCCGGCUUGCUCGACUGAAGUCGGACGCGGAAUGCCGGGGCUCCUAGUGGGCCAUUUUUGGUAAGCAGAACUGGCGAUGUGGGAUGAACCGAAAGCCGGGUUAAGGUGCCCGAAUCGACGCUCAUCAGAUCCCAUGAAAGGU